GGCCCGACGGAGCAGUCUGUACACUCAGCUCCACCUGCCCCACGUAAGAGGAAAUGGAGGGAAAGAGGUCAAUCACAAGAUACUUUUCUACCAUCAGUACCUCGUCCUCCAGUCACUAUGGCCAGAACUGAAUCUAGGUUCCAAUCAUGGCCAGUAUGUGGCAUAUGUGGGAAGCAGCACCCUGGCAGAUGCAAAAUGGGUCAGGGAGUGUGCUACAGAUGUGGACAGCCGGGUCAUUUUGUCAGAGAAUGCCCGCAGAGUGCCACCCAGCAGUUUGUGCCCUUGGAAUCCUAUCCUUCUGUGCAGAUGGACAGGCCUAGUAGUAGGGGGCCUGUAGGCAGAGGCAGAGGUCAGACACCAGUGUCACAGCAGAAUGCUGGACCAUCUCAGCCAUCAGC
rnacentral:lncRNA from 1 species